rnacentral:lncRNA from 1 species
UCCUGUGAGGGACCCACACGCCGGACAUCGGGGGCCAGGGCACCACGUCGGGGGCCGUCCAGUCCAUCCUGCGUUACGUCCGCACGGCCGGCGGCUGGAGCCAGUGCAGCUAGGGCCAGGGGGAGGACCCCACUCUCAGGCCAAGGCCAAGGGGCUGCACAGGCCGGUGCCCGCCAGCCAGGCGAUCCAUGGGGCGAGCCCAUAGCCCCCCGCCCCCCUGUCCAUGUCACUGCUGCUGUGUGCGUUGCUGUGGGGCCAGCGCCCCCCAUGGGGAGUAAAUGUCUGUCUGUCUGUCUG